rnacentral:rRNA from 1 species
UUGACCUGAAGAGUUUGAUCCUGGCUCAGAUUGAACGCUGGCGGCAGGCCUAACCCAUGCAAGUCGAGCGGCAGCACGGGUACUUGUACCUGGUGGCGAGCGGCGGACGGGUGAGUAA